CGCCGAAAGACUUUCAGGAGGAGGCAGAAGGGACUGGAAUAUAAUUUAAAGAUGGUCAAGGCAUAGAUGCAUCAGGGAGCAUUAGAGGAGGGGAAGAAUGUGAGUAAAAGGAAUGGAAGAAAAAGGCAGGGAGAUUUGAAGAUUUUCUUACUUUCAGGGAUGUGAACAGGCUGAUUCUGCCAACUAAGAAUGCUUCCUUGUCAUAUCUCACCAGAAGACUAUCUUCAAAUGCAUGUCCAGAGUACAAGAGAGAGCACGAAGAUGGAAGAAGACGGGAUGGAAAUGCGCGAGCGUUGAGAUGGGAGAAAUAAUCCAGGGGAAAAUGAUUUGUGUCUUGCCUUUCCCAACAAAUGGUGCUCCAAACAGCUCACAGAAACAAGAUGCACUUCAAAAUACAUGAUAACAAAUGAAAAACAUUCAUAAAAGGAACAGCAGCAAGAGGAGGGAGACCCCAGCCUACGCUACAGAAAGGAGUGACUUCAAGCCUGAUGAGUCACCAGAGAGAAGACACCCUGGCCAGGUCUGUUUAGUAAAUCUUGAGUAAUGGUUGCCAACCAUAAAAAAAACAUAGUUACAGAUGUGGUAACAAUGCAAAGGGGAUACAUCCAGUAUAAAUAAACAGGGCAACAGCUGCCUGGGUACAUUGGGUGGCGAUGUCCUCGUGAGUCACUAAGCUGACGCCACCCUC